CUUGUCCCUGAUGUUACGGCGGACGGGUGAGUACACGUGGGUACCUGCCUGUAAGACUGGGAUAACUCCGGGAAACCGGGGCUAAUACCGGAUGCUUGUUUGAACCGCAUGGUUCAAANAUAAAAGGUGGCUUCGGCUACCACUUACAGAUGGACCCGCGGCGCAUUAGCUAGUUGGUGAGGUAACGGCUCACCAAGGCAACGAUGCGUAGCCGACCUGAGAGGGUGAUCGGCCACACUGGGACUGAGACACGGCCCAGACUCCUACGGGAGGCAGCAGUAGGGAAUCUUCCGCAAUGGACGAAAGUCUGACGGAGCAACGCCGCGUGAGUGAUGAANGUUUUCGGAUCGUAAAGCUCUGUUGUUAGGGAAAAACAAGUACCGUUCGAAUAGGGCGGUACCUUGACGGUACCUAACCAGAANGCCCNGCUAACUACGUGCCAGCAGCCCGGUAAUACGUAGUGG
rnacentral:rRNA from 1 species